AGCUUUAUAUUCAACAAUGAUUUUAAAUUGCAAAUUUAAAGGAGGAUGUAUUCCUAAGGCUU
rnacentral:tRNA from 1 species